rnacentral:lncRNA from 1 species
AAUUGAUCUUAGCUGCCUGGCGCGAACAAAACAAAAAAAAAAAACCCCCAAAUUUGCUUCCUCCCCAUAAAAGAAGAUAAAACCCUAGAAAGCAGAGGUUGGGUUUCCACGAAAAUUGAAGAUGAGGCCUGAAAUAAUUGACGGAGGGAAAGAGUUGGAUGUGGCGGCACCGCGUUGCUUUUGUGGGAAGAUAACUUGCUUACAAACUUCGUGGAUUAAGGCCAACCGACUUUGAAGAUUCCAUGUUUGUCCAAAAUCAUCAGGGGUAAGUUUUGUUAUUCAAAGUCUGUGAAUUGUGUUAUAAUUUUUUAUUAAUUGCUAUUAAUGGUUGAUGCAAAAAGGAAAAAAGGAUGUGGAUUUUUUGUUUGGGUGGAUGUUGAAUUUCCACCUAGAGAGAAGGCUCUGGUGACUUGGCUACUUAGAAAAUUGAAGGAACUUGAAAAAGACGUUGGGCGUUGUCAAUCAAGAGAAAGAAAGUUAAUGGGUUGCCUUAUUCUUUCCUGGGGUUUAGUAAUUAUAUUGUUGUUUUGGCAAUUUCUGUAAAAGUUGCUGCAAAAUUUGGCCAUUAGAGGUUGGUGAUGGAGGAAUUAGGCUGAUUUUAGAAGUCUGUAUUUUGUAACUGUAUGCAAAAUAUCAUGUAUUGGUACUUAUCUGAUGACGGAUGAAC